rfam:Picea glauca, whole genome shotgun sequence.
AGCCGUGUGGUCAACACAAAGCGAACUAUUCUUUCGCCUUUUACUAAAGAAUACCGUGUGUUGGCCACUAUUAGCGGCAUACGCCAAUUUUUGAACGCUUCACACUCACUUGAGUCG